rnacentral:rRNA from 1 species
GAUGAACGCUAGCGGCAGGCCUAACACAUGCAAGUCGAGGGGUAGCAGGAUUAAGCUUGCUUAAUUGCUGACGACCGGCGCACGGGUGCGUAACGCGUAUGCAACCUACCUUAUACUGGGGUAUAGCCCGGAGAAAUUCGGAUUAAUCCCCCAUAGUACUAAUGAAUCGCAUGGUUUAUUAGUUAAAGCAUUGCGGUAUAAAAUGGGCAUGCGUCCUAUUAGCUAUAUGGUGAGGUAACGGCUCACCAUGGCUACGAUAGGUAUGGGGCAUGGGAGGGUGGUCCCCAACACGGGUACUGAGACACGGACCAGACCCCAGCGUGAGGCAGCAGUGAUGAAUAUUGGUCAAUGGGCGCAAGCCUGAACCAGCCAUGCCGCGUGCAGGAAGAAUGCCCUAUGGGUUGUAAACUGCUUUUAUUUGGGAAGAAACCUCUUUACGUGUAGAGAGCUGAAGGUACCAAAUGAAUAAGCACCGGCUAACUCCGUGCCAGCCGCCGCCGUAA